AAGACUAUAGACCUGCGGAGUACCUGCGGAAGGAUCAUUACUGAGUGAGGGCCCUCUGGGUCCAACCUCCCACCCGUGUUUAUUGUACCUUGUUGCUUCGGUGGGCCCGCCGCAAGGCCGCCGGGGGCUUCCGCCCCGGGCCCGCGCCCACCGGAGACAAACUGAACUCUGUCUGAAUGUUGCAGUCUGAGUAAAAACUUAAUAAGUUAAAACUUUCAGCAAUGGAUCUCUAGAUCGGAA
rnacentral:misc_RNA from 1 species